rnacentral:rRNA from 1 species
UACGUAGGGGGCAAGCGUUGUCCGGAUUUAUUGGGCGUAAAGAGCGUGUAGGCGGCCGUACAGGUCAGCUGUGAAAACUCGAGGCUCAACCUCGAGACGUCGGUUGAAACCACCUGGCUAGAGUCCGGAAGGGGAGAGUGGAAUUCCCGGUGUAGCGGUGAAAUGCGCAGAUAUCGGGAAGAACACCCGUGGCGAAGGCGGCUCUCUGGGACGGUACUGACGCUGAGACGCGAAAGCGUGGGGAGCGAACAGG